UACGGAGGGAGCCAGCGUUGUUCGGAAUUAUUGGGCGUAAAGAGCUCGUAGGCGGUUUGUCGCGUCUGCUGUGAAAACUCGGGGCUUAACUCCGGGCCUGCAGUGGGUACGGGCAGACUAGAGUGCGGUAGGGGAGACUGGAAUUCCUGGUGUAGCGGUGGAAUGCGCAGAUAUCAGGAGGAACACCGAUGGCGAAGGCAGGUCACUGGGCCGCACCUGACGCUGAGGAGCGAAAGCAUGGGGAGCGAACAGG
rnacentral:rRNA from 1 species